AGAAUCAACGCUGGCGGCGUGCCUAACACAUGCAAGUCGAACGAGAAAGGGUAGCAAUACCUGAGUAAAGUGGCGCACGGGUGAGUAACACGUGACUAACCUACCCUGGAGUGGGGGAUAACUGAGGGAAACCUUAGCUAAUACCGCAUAAUACCUACGGGUCAAAGGAGCAAUUCGCUUCAGGAGGGGGUCGCGGCCGAUUAGUUAGUUGGCGGGGUAAUGGCCCACCAAGACGAUGAUCGGUAUCCGGCCUGAGAGGGCGCACGGACACACUGGAACUGAAACACGGUCCAGACUCCUACGGGAGGCAGCAGUGGGAAUUUUGCGCAAUGGGGGAAACCUGGACGCAGCAACGCCGCGUGGAGGAUGAAGUCCUCGGGACGUAAACUCCUUUCGAUCGGGACGAUUAUGACGGUACCGGAAGAAGAAGCCCGGCUAACUUCGCGCCAGCAGCCGC
rnacentral:rRNA from 1 species